rnacentral:rRNA from 1 species
UACGAAGGGGGCUAGCGUUGCUCGGAAUCACUGGGCGUAAAGGGCGCGUAGGCGGCCGAUCAAGUCAGGGGUGAAAGCCUGUGGCUCAACCACAGAAUUGCCUUUGAUACUGUUUGGCUCGAGACCGGAAGAGGUUGGUGGAACUGCGAGUGUAGAGGUGAAAUUCGUAGAUAUUCGCAAGAACACCAGUGGCGAAGGCGGCCAACUGGUCCGGAUCUGACGCUGAGGCGCGAAAGCGUGGGGAGCAAACAGGG